rnacentral:rRNA from 1 species
UACGUAGGUGGCGAGCGUUGUCCGGAAUUACUGGGUGUAAAGGGGGCGUAGGCGGGAGAGCAAGUCGACUGUGAAAUCUAUGGGCUUAACCCAUAGCUGCGAUCGAAACUGUUCAUCUUGAGUGAAGUAGAGGCAGGCGGAAUUCCUAGUGUAGCGGUGAAAUGCGUAAAUAUUAGGAGGAACACCAGUGGCGAAGGCGGCCUGCUGGGCUUUAACUGACGCUGAGGCUCGAAAGCGUGGGUAGCAAACAGG